CCUACGGGUGGCUGCAGUGAGGAAUAUUGGUCAAUGGCCGGAAGGCUGCACCUGCCAUGCCGCGUGAAGGUCAGUGCCCUAUGGGCGUUAAACUUCUUUUGUGCGGGAGCAAUAAUGGUCACGUGUGGCCAGACGAGAGUACCGUACGAAUAAGCAUCGGCUAACUCCAUGCCAGCAGCCGCGGUAAUACGGGUGAUGAAAGCGUUAUCCGGAUUUAUUGGUUUUAAAGGGUGCGUAGGCUGUGAGGGAAGUCAGCGGUGAAAUGCCGCCGCUCAACGGGGUGAAGUGUCAUUGAUACUGGCUUGCUGGAAUGCGGAUGCCGUGGGAGGAAUGUGUGGUGUAGCGGUGAAAUGCAUAGAUAGCACACAGAACACCGAUUGCGAAGGCAUCUCACGAAUCCGCGAUUGACGCUGAUGCACGAAAGCGUGGGUAUCAAACAGGAUUAGAUACCCGAGUAGUC
rnacentral:rRNA from 1 species